AGGGUUUGAUCCUGGCUCAGGACGAACGCUGGCGGCGUGCUUAACACAUGCAAGUCAAGGAGAACGGAUCCUUCGGGAUACUAUUAAACUGGCGAACGGGUGAGUAACGCGUAGGCAACCUGCCUUGGAGAUUGGGAUAACCCCGGGAAACCGGAGCUAAUACCAAAUAAUGCAGCGGAUCCUUCGGGAUAUGUUGUUAAAGUGGGCUUCGGCUCACACUUCAAGAUGGGCCUGCGUCCGAUUAGCUUGUUGGUGAGGUAAUGGCUCACCAAGGCGAUGAUCGGUAGCUGGUCUGAGAGGAUGAUCAGCCACACUGGGAUUGAGAUACGGCCCAGACUCCUACGGGAGGCAGCAGUGGGGAAUUUUGCGCAAUGGACGAAAGUCUGACGCAGCAACGCCGCGUGAUCGAUGAAGCUUCUAGGAGUGUAAAGAUCUGUCGUGAGGGAAGAAAAAUCUGGAUGUAAAUAAUGUUCAGACGUGACGGUACCUCACAAGAAAGCACCGGCUAACUUCGUGCCAGCAGCCGCGGUAAUACGAGGGGUGCUAGCGUUGUCCGGAAUUACUGGGCGUAAAGGGUUC
rnacentral:rRNA from 1 species